AUCUCUUCUUGGCCUUUUGGCUAAGAUCAAGUGUAGUAAUUGGCUUUAUCACCAAGUAUUACAUAGAGAGAUUGCUCCAUAUCAGUACAUGAAGUGCUUCCUCAUUCUUCCUUCAUAGUAUACAGUAGCCUAUUGUCUUAGUCAAGCAAG
ensembl:snRNA U2 U2 spliceosomal RNA